rnacentral:lncRNA from 1 species
GACGAGAAGGUUUAUGAGACCUAUUGGGGCUCGUAAACGCAUAUGUCUCCUUCUCAUCUCCAACCGCUUCUUUGUCGCCAACAUUUCUCUCAUCAGUAGCUGCCUUUUCAGCAGCAGUCAACUCAGUAGCAACCUUUUCAGCAGCUUCUUUCUUGAGUUACUCCACAGCUUCUGCCAUCACUUCAAGUGUAGAUGGUGAGUCUUUUGCCUCUUCCUCGUGCUCUUUCUUACCAUCCUUCUCAGCCUCUUUCUCACCAUCCUUCUCAGCCUCUUCCUCGCCCUCAUUGUUAGCCACCUCAUCAGCCUCCUUCUCAGGCUCUUUCUUGCCCUCACCAUCCUCCUUAGCUGAUUCCUCAACCGAUAUGGCAACACAAAACCAACAACAUUUACCUCGUGUUUGAAAUCAUGCAACAUUAACAAGAUUUUACCUCCUAAAGUUCCACCCGGUUUCAAAACAUAAAUGCAAAUCCGUCGUCCAAUUUCUUUGUCAACUUCAACUCCAACUUUUUUAGACUUUCAAGACAACUAGUACAACUAUUUUUAUGUCCAGCUCGGCAGUUGCCUUCUUUUCGGUAGUUAAACCAGUUGGAUUAUAAUUAUCGUAGU